rnacentral:rRNA from 1 species
CAGCCGCCGCGGUAAUACGUAGGGCGCAAGCGUUAUCCGGAAUUAUUGGGCGUAAAGAGCUCGUAGGCGGUUUGUCGCGUCUGCUGUGAAAUCCCGAGGCUCAACCUCGGGCCUGCAGUGGGUACGGGCAGACUAGAGUGCGGUAGGGGAGAUUGGAAUUCCUGGUGUAGCGGUGGAAUGCGCAGAUAUCAGGAGGAACACCGAUGGCGAAGGCAGAUCUCUGGGCCGUAACUGACGCUGAGGAGCGAAAGGGUGGGGAGCAAACAGGAUUAGAUACCCCAGUAGUCCCUGUCUCUUAUAC